GUGACUGCGUACCUUUUGUAUAAUGGGUCAGCGACUUAUAUUCUGUAGCAAGGUUAACCGAAUAGGGGAGCCGCAGGGAAACCGAGUCUUAAUUGGGCGUUAAGUUGCAGGGUAUAGACCCGAAACCCGGUGAUCUAGCCAUGGGCAGGUUGAAGGUUGGGUAACACUAACUGGAGGACCGAACCGACUAAUGUUGAAAAAUUAGCGGAUGACCUGUGGCUGGGGGUGAAAGGCCAAUCAAACCGGGAGAUAGCUGGUUCUCCCCGAAAGCUAUUUAGGUAGCGCCUCGUGAAUUCAUCUCCGGGGGUAGAGCACUGUUUCGGCUAGGGGGCCAUCCCGGCUUACCAACCCGAUGCAAACUGCGAAUACCGGAGAAUGUUAUCACGGGAGACACACGGCGGGUGCUAACGUCCGUCGUGAAGAGGGAAACAACCCAGACCGCCAGCUAAGGUCCCAAAGUCAUGGUUAAGUGGGAAACGAUGUGGGAAGGCCCAGACAGCCAGGAUGUUGGCUUAGAAGCAGCCAUCAUUUAAAGAAAGCGUAAUAGCUCACUGGUCGAGUCGGCCUGCGCGGAAGAUGUAACGGGGCUAAACCAUGCACCGAAGCUGCGGCAGCGACGCUGAUGCGUUGUUGGGUAGGGGAGCGUUCUGUAAGCCUGUGAAGGUGUGUCGUGAGGCAUGCUGGAGGUAUCAGAAGUGCGAAUGCUGACAUAAGUAACGAUAAAGCGGGUGAAAAGCCCGCUCGCCGGAAGACCAAGGGUUCCUGUCCAACGUUAAUCGGGGCAGGGUGAGUCGACCCCUAAGGCGAGGCCGAAAGGCGUAGUCGAUGGGAAACGGGUUAAUAUUCCCGUACUUGGUGUUACUGCGAAGGGGGGACGGAGAAGGCUAUGUUGGCCGGGCGACGGUUGUCCCGGUUUAAGCGUGUAGGUGUGUGUUCCAGGUAAAUCCGGUUCACUUUAACACUGAGGCGUGAUGACGAGGCACUACGGUGCUGAAGCAACAAAUGCCCUGCUUCCAGGAAAAGCCUCUAAGCAUCAGGUAACAUCAAAUCGUACCCCAAACCGACACAGGUGGUCAGGUAGAGAAUACCAAGGCGCUUGAGAGAACUCGGGUGAAGGAACUAGGCAAAAUGGUGCCGUAACUUCGGGAGAAGGCACGCUGACACGUAGGUGAAGUGAUUUACUCAUGGAGCUGAAGUCAGUCGAAGAUACCAGCUGGCUGCAACUGUUUAUUAAAAACACAGCACUGUGCAAACACGAAAGUGGACGUAUACGGUGUGACGCCUGCCCGGUGCCGGAAGGUUAAUUGAUGGGGUCAGCGCAAGCGAAGCUCCUGAUCGAAGCCCCGGUAAACGGCGGCCGUAACUAUAACGGUCCUAAGGUAGCGAAAUUCCUUGUCGGGUAAGUUCCGACCUGCACGAAUGGCGUAAUGAUGGCCAGGCUGUCUCCACCCGAGACUCAGUGAAAUUGAACUCGCUGUGAAGAUGCAGUGUACCCGCGGCAAGACGGAAAGACCCCGUGAACCUUUACUAUAGCUUGACACUGAACAUUGAGCCUUGAUGUGUAGGAUAGGUGGGAGGCUUUGAAGUGUGGACGCCAGUCUGCAUGGAGCCGACCUUGAAAUACCACCCUUUAAUGUUUGAUGUUCUAACGUGGACCCGUAAUCCGGGUUGCGGACAGUGUCUGGUGGGUAGUUUGACUGGGGCGGUCUCCUCCUAAAGAGUAACGGAGGAGCACGAAGGUUGGCUAAUCCUGGUCGGACAUCAGGAGGUUAGUGCAAUGGCAUAAGCCAGCUUGACUGCGAGCGUGACGGCGCGAGCAGGUGCGAAAGCAGGUCAUAGUGAUCCGGUGGUUCUGAAUGGAAGGGCCAUCGCUCAACGGAUAAAAGGUACUCCGGGGAUAACAGGCUGAUACCGCCCAAGAGUUCAUAUCGACGGCGGUGUUUGGCACCUCGAUGUCGGCUCAUCACAUCCUGGGGCUGAAGUAGGUCCCAAGGGUAUGGCUGUUCGCCAUUUAAAGUGGUACGCGAGCUGGGUUUAGAACGUCGUGAGACAGUUCGGUCCCUAUCUGCCGUGGGCGCUGGAGAACUGAGGGGGGCUGCUCCUAGUACGAGAGGACCGGAGUGGACGCAUCACUGGUGUUCGGGUUGUCAUGCCAAUGGCACUGCCCGGUAGCUAAAUGCGGAAGAGAUAAGUGCUGAAAGCAUCUAAGCACGAAACUUGCCCCGAGAUGAGUUCUCCCUGAGACUUAGAGUCUCCUGAAGGAACGUUGAAGACGACGACGUUGAUAGGCCGGGUGUGUAAGCGCAGCGAUGCGUUGAGCUAACCGGUACUAAUGAACCGUGAGGCUUAACCUU
rnacentral:rRNA from 1 species